CGCAGGGCCCGCCCUCUCUCUGUCCCAGCGAGGGGCGGUGCGACUCCGGCGCAGGGCGGCCGCCGAUUGGUCGGGGCGCGGAGCUGACGCCCGCCGGGCCGGGUCAGCGUUCGGCCUACGGCGGUCGCCGCCUCAUCGCCCGUCAGACGUGCGGCGCCGUUGUCGCCGUUCUGUGCGCGAGUGCCGUUGCGCGACGCGCGGCCUCGAAGCAACGCCCCAGCGCGGUACCGCCCCGCGGCCGGGCGGUGUAAGCGGGGCCUCGAGCGGAGGGGACUUGCGCUGGUUGGUCGCGUUAGCGGUCAAACAGAAGUUAAAGCUAUUAAAGAGGGCAUUAUCCGAAUGCCUCACGGGCGGACAUGGAGCAGCAGCCACCUCGCUAGGAAGUCUCUGUCAGCGUUUGACCGCUCUCACUGUUGAGAAGUUUCUCGUAAUGCCAUGUCUGAACCUCCCCUAUAAAUAUGGAUAAAUAUGGGUAUGUUAUAAAUUGAAAAAUACAGGAAGAAAAACUGCUUUAGCUGUUUGAUUUGGAGAAGGAACUUUUGUUUCCCGUAUGCAUUCCACUGCAGGACACCACUGCAAGUUCCUUUGCACAUAAUUCGGAACAAAUGAAAGCCAAACUGAUUUCUACAGAAGGGCCGUGAUGGGGGAGUUCUUUUUUUUUUUCUUCCAUACCCGCAGAUAACCAGUUCGGAUUUAUAUAGAGACAAAAAAUGGUUUGAACUCAGGCUCUCCUUCAGCGUGCCUCAGUGGGUAUGAGUUUCCUUGCAGCAGCAGGAGGAAAAAAGUCACCGUUGUGCGGAACUUCUUUUUUUUUUUUUCGAUUAUUCAAAAGCCUCCUUAAUAAUACAGAACAGCUGAGGGGAUUCGUGUGAUUUUAUUCCCUGUCGAAGUCGCUGAGCAAUUACAUCCAGCCACAGGGCUGUGCUUGCGCUGCUGCCGGUUGUUGCUGGGUUCUCUCUGAUGCUUUGGAAGCUGUGCCCUCCCCAGCCUAACAUGCAGGCCUAUCGUUGGACAAAUUGAGGCUCCUUUGUUCUGAUGUUAAGCGCUAAGCCCUGACAACAGAGAACAAAAGGUCCAAGAACAGCUUGUGCUAAAGGCAAAACUUUCCUUUGCUUCGUCGUAAUUCUUCCUUGUUGGCUCUGAGAACCUUGGAGGAUCUUGGUAGCUGCCUCCUAGCGAGAGCAGAAAUGUUGCAGUGCAAGGGCAAGACCUGAGGCUAUUUCUUUGGGUAUUAUUUCUGCUUAAGAAGACGUGUUCCUUAAAUGACCAGUUGACAAAGCAGAGUGAAAAUGGACAUCUGAACAACUUUUAGGUGCAGAAUGAUACAUCACAGGAUUGAUACGUUCUCAGCUUUGCUCCAGG
ensembl:lncRNA